rnacentral:rRNA from 1 species
AACAAACGCUGGCGGCGUGCCUAAUACAUGCAAGUCGAACGAGGAAAGCUUUCGGGUGAGUACUAGUGGCGCACGGGUGAGGAAUAUAUGGGUAAUCUGCCCUCGAGUUGGGGAUAACCAGUCGAAAGACUGGCUAAUACCGAAUAAGACCACAGGAUCUGCGGAUCUAGGGGUUAAAGGUUUUUCGCUUGAGGAUGAGCCCAUACGGGAUUAGCUAGUUGGCGAGGUAAUGGCUCACCAAGGCUACGAUCCCUAACUGGUCUUAGAGGAUGAUCAGUCACACUGGAACUGAGACACGGUCCAGACUCCUACGGGAGGCAGCAGUAGGGAAUAUUGCACAAUGGGGGAAACCCUGAUGCAGCGACGCCGCGUGAGUGAUGAAGGCCUUCGGGUCGUAAAGCUCUGUCGUAUGGGACUAACACAAUGAAGGUACCAUGCAAGAAAGGAUCGGCUAACUUCGUGCCAGCAGCCGCGGUAA